UGCCAGCAGCCGCGGUAACACGAACCGGACGAACGUUAUUCGGAAUCACUGGGCUUAAAGAGUCCGUAGGCGGCUAUGUAGGUCAGGUGUGAAAUCCCACGGCUCAACCGUGGAACUGCGCCUGAAACCAUGUAGCUAGAGGGAGAUAGAGGAAAGCGGAACUGAUGGUGGAGCGGUGAAAUGCGUUGAUAUCAUCAGGAACACCGGUGGCGAAAGCGGCUUUCUGGGUCUCUUCUGACGCUGAGGGACGAAAGCUAGGGGAGCGAACGGGAUUAGAUA
rnacentral:rRNA from 1 species